UGAGGAAUAUUGGUCAAUGGGCGCGAGCCUGAACCAGCCAAGUAGCGUGCAGGAUGACGGCCCUAUGGGUUGUAAACUGCUUUUAUGCGGGGAUAAAGUGAGGGACGCGUCCCUUUUUGCAGGUACCGCAUGAAUAAGGACCGGCUAAUUCCGUGCCAGCAGCCGCGGUAAUACGGAAGGUCCGGGCGUUAUCCGGAUUUAUUGGGUUUAAAGGGAGCGUAGGCCGGCUUUUAAGCGUGUUGUGAAAUGCCGCGGCUCAACCGUGGCACUGCAGCGCGAACUGGUGCCCUUGAGUACGCACGACGUUGGCGGAAUUCGCCGUGUAGCGGUGAAAUGCUUAGAUAUGGCGAAGAACUCCGAUUGCGAAGGCAGCUGACGGGAGCGCUACUGACGCUCAUGCUCGAAAGCGCGGGUAUCGAACAGGAUUAGAUACCCUGGUAGU
rnacentral:rRNA from 1 species